rnacentral:lncRNA from 1 species
UUCAUGCUCCUCUGCCGAAACGAAAACGCAAUCAAGCCUUCUGCUUCUGCGUCGUCUGUCAAUGCGAGACCUCUGCCUUUAAAUAGCGACGCUCAAACGCUGGCCCACCAUUCACUUGAGCCGCCAGAACAUUUACUCCUUUCAGCUUUCUGAAGCACGACUUUCUUUUCGUCGUUUUCGAAGACCACUGUCCUCCGGCACUCCAACGAUGCAGAUGUACGGAAGUGUAAACCUCGAACUCGCCCUCACUGUGGCAGCUGUACUCUACGGGUACACGGCAGCGGAAGACUGUUCCACAGAAGUCUGCAGUUAUUGGAACAUAUUGGACACGUUCAAGUUUUUCAUCUUGGAUGCCACUUCCGACCAGCAGCUGGAUCUGAGCUGCUUGACUGUUAAAAAAAAUGGGCGUACACAUAAACUAAUAACUACCGAUUCCACGACUGAAGAGAGCAUUCACGCCUCCUACAAGGCCAAGUACAUCAACA